AUUAGGGCAUGGUGAAAUGCAUCAGAUUACAGCCAAAGGUGUGGGAAGGAUUUUGAGGAAAGGUCAAGCAUUAUUGGCACACUUCUUUACUAUGGUGAGCCAAGAGAUAGUAGAAGAGGAGGAGAUACCAACAGAGGUGCAAGAAGUCUUAACAACUUAUGCUGAUGUGUUCAAGGAACCUAAGGAUUUGCUCCUAACUAGGGAGCUUGACCAUGCUAUACCUAUCAUACCAGGUGCUAGACCAGUAUCCUUAAGGCCCUAUAGGUACAACCACUAUUAAAAAGCUGAAUUGGAGAAGCAAGUAGCAGAAAUGCUUAACCAAGGGAUCAUUCAACCAAGUCACUCACCUUUCUCUUCACCAGUGCUACUAGUGAAGAAGAAGGAUGGCAACUGGAGAUUCUACAUUGACUAUAGAGAACUGAAUAAAAUCACUAUUAAAAACAAAUUCACAAUACCAAUUGUUGAUGAUCUUCUAGAUGAGUUAGGAGGAUCCAACUAUUUCUCUAAGUUGGGCCUGAGGGUAGGUUACCACCAGAUUAGGAUGAGGCCAGAAGAUGUGCAUAAGACAGGGUUUUAGAACUCACCAUGGGCCUUUUGAGUUCAAGGUCAUGCCUUUUGGCCUGACCAAUGCACCAUCCACUUUUCAAGCACUUAUGAACUCCCUAUUUGGUCCCUCCUUGAGGAAGUUCAUAUUGGUGUUCUUUGAUGGCAUAUUAGUGUACAAUAAAACACUAGCAGAUCAUGUGGAACAUCUUAAACAAGCUUUUGCUAAGAAGCAGGUGGAGUAUCUAGGACAUAUAAUCACUAUUCAAGGAGUUGCCACUGAUCCUUCUAAGGUGGAAGCAAUGCUGAAUUGGCCAAAACCAAGGAAUAUAAAGGGCUUAAGAGGGUUCCUUUGUUACACCUCGGAUUUUCGCACGUUAAAGUCGCAUCAUGAGUUAGUCGACGUAAGUUCAAAAAGAAAUUAUGUUGAGGAUAAAAGGGAUUGAUUUUAUUAAUAAAAAUGAUUACAAGAGUCUAUAAAUAAUAUUAGUAGGUGGCGGAAGAUUUAGAGGGUGAAUGAAUCAAAGAAGCAUGAGUUUCGUCAAAAGUCGGCAAGUUGGGAAUACGAUAACUUGUACUUUUGGGUGAGAUUAGGAGUGCUCCACAUGCUAAGAAAGUAAUGAUAUGAAGUAUUUGAAUUGUAUAAUGGUAUCUUGUUAAGUUUGGAAGUCAAACGAGUUGUAAUACGAAAGUCGACAAAGGGCGUCGCAAGUUAAGUUUGUAAAUUUCACUGAAAUUUAGGUCAGAUGUCUCGGAGCUUUUCUCUCAAUAUACUUGGAUUUACGGGAUGAUCCACCUAUCAAAUCGAAGAUCUAUGAGUCUAGUUUCCAGCGGAUUUUACCGUUCAUCAAUACGACAUCGGAGUAGAGAGAUAUUCACAUUUCCGUCCAAGGAUGUAAGCUGUCACGGGACAGAAAAGCCCAAGGUCGGUGGCAACAUUACUUUACUUAUAUAAAAACACCCCAAAUCAAAUUGGAACCUCAUUUCUCUUCAAAGAACAAACCCUAAACACUCCCUAUACUCUCUCAAACAUUUCUCCAUCAAUCAUAAGCAAAUCCAAAGGCUAAUCAAGUAACUUUAAUGUAAGGAAUCACGUGGUAAUCGUAGAAUCGUCGUUUCUUCGUUGUUUCGCUUUUCGAAAGAAAUCUUCAACUUGAAGAAAUCUCUGUUUUAGAUUGAUUCUGGGAAACUAAGGUAUGUUUUAUCCUCUUAAUCAUCUCCUUAUGAUUCUCCAAGUAUUUAAUCUAAGAAAUUUGGAGGAAAUCCCAUGUAUAUGAACCAUAUGAACUAGUAUGGAUGAAAUUGAUUGGUUGAGCUGAUUUAUGUGGUUUAAAUGUAUUUUCUUGGAGCUGUGAAGGUAUGGCUGGAUUGAUAAGGAAGAGUAGGAGUAAAGGAGAAGAAAGAUGGUAGUCUUGAAUGAAGAAAUUGAACUACAAAUGACCCUACGGACUUACGCCCGCAAGUUGUUCGACGAAAUGUCUCAUUGAGUAUUUCCAUAAGCUAUGAACUUGGAAUUGAUCCCAUAUUGGUCGUAUGAUGUAGGAAAUCAUUCGUAAGACAUUGGAGGACUCGGGAAAAUAUAUAUAACUCCAUCGACGAAGUAUGUAGGGCUUUCUAUUCUCUUUGUGGCAUGACUAGAUUUCAAAUGACCUUUCAUUGAAAAGUUGUUCCGCUAACUUGGAUCGAUCGCGUUCCAUGAUAAUUGAGCUGACGCAUACUCAUCUAUGACUUAUACCAAAUUAUGGUCCACAUCUUCUUUUGGCUAUCGAUUAAAAGACUUUCCGUUCAACUUGUGUCGAUUAUGUCCCAAAAUGGUUAAGCUUACCCUUUUCUCAUGAAUAACUUGUAUUGAAGUACCUUUCACAUUUUGUAGCCCUCUUGUUUAUCGAAUGAAGAAUGAUAUUACUUAUGGUACUCUUCACAUCAAAGUUGAGUUGAUUGUACUUCCUUUAAUUGAGUGAAUCCUUAUCUUCUUGUCUAUUGCUCCAAGGUGACGAACCUCUCGUUAGCACACUCUUUCCGAUAAAAGUUGUGUCGAUCAUAUUUCAUAAGAGUUUGGCUAACUUUGGCUUCGUGAAUAAUUCAUAACAAGAUGUUUCCUUGUACUUUUACUUCUUUGGCCUAAUGAUCAAAUAAUGAUAAACGUAGCGAUAAUAAUGAUAGUCGUAGGAUAACGACGAUAGGUCACCCCGACUCUUUCCAUGAUAUUUCUUAUGAGGUCAGUCUUUCAUUGCACUUAUAUAUAUGUAUUUAUUUUCAUUACCGAGCCGCGCUAUAGUCGGUCGGGUAGGCACUUAUAUGUGCACCUAGACAUGUUUCUUUCUUUACCGAGCCAUGUUGUAGGCGGCCGGGUAGGCACGUAGCUGUGCACCUAGAUGUAUUUCUUUCUUUAUCGAGCGGUAUUGUAGGCGGCCGGGUAGGCACGUAGCUGUGCAUUGCCACUGAUCAGUUGGGCAAAGAUGAUGCUAUGAUGAUGAGCUCACCCCACAGAGGGAUUUAUUAUUGUUAAUGAUAUGAUAUAUGCCUCCACAGUGAGGAAUGAUUUUACGGGCAUGCAUUUACAUUUAUGUCAUGAUUAUGGUCGCCCUCAGUGGCCUCGUUCAGAGUUUCAGGUUGUCUUUACAUCUUUUCCCAAGUUGUCUGUAUCUCUUAUGUUUAUGCUUACUGCCUUACAUACUCGGUACAUCUUUCGUACUGACGUAUUUUGUGCGCUGUGAUCAUGCCCACAGGUACGGUAGACGGAUUGUUGUACCUUUCUCAGUAGGAUACCAAAGUUCAGCAGGGAUAUUUGCACUCCAUUCUCCGGAGUUGCUGGUCAGAGUCAUCAAAUAGGAUGCAUGCAUGUGUAUAUAUAUAUAUAUAUAUUAUGAGUAUGGUUAUGGGUAUGUCGGGGCCACUGUCCCGACCAGUUGAUGCAUAUUAGUGCUCUUAGAGGCUUAUAGACUAUCAGUCAGUGUACAUGUAUUGUGUUUGGCCUUGCCGGCCUUCUGACUAGUUGUCUUUCUUGGUUGUGGCCUUGUCGGCCCUAGUUACGCAUAUAUGUGUUGUUAGGCCUUUUCUGCUUGUAGGUUGUUAUGAUAUACUUCUUACUAUUGUUAUUUAGCGGCCUCGUCGGCCUAUGAUUCACGUUAUAGAGUUUAGAUAUCACAGUUGGUUCGCUCGGCCCCUUCGGGUGCCGGGUGUCGGCCAUACCCCCAAGGUUGGGGUGUGACAUCCUUGGGCUUACAGGAUAUUAUAGGAGUUUUUUUAGAGAUUAUGGCAACUUGAGCAAACCACUAACAACACUACUCAAGAAAAAUGCCUUUCAAUGGAGUCCAGAAGCAGAAGUUGCUUUUCAACAACUUAAGCAAGCUAUGAGCUGAACACCAGUGCUUGCCAUACCUGAUUAUAACAAAAAGUUCAUUAUUGAGACUGAUGCUAGUCACUAUGGACUAGGGGCUGUACUGACUUAAGAAAACAAACCAAUAGCAUUCUAUAGUGAGCACCAAGACAUUUGGGCAAGUCUGUAUAUAAGAAGGAGUACAUGACAGUUAUUGCAGCCAUAGAUAGGUGGAGGCGCUAUGUACAAAAGGGGGCAUUUCAUUAUCAAGAUAGAUCAUUUUAGUAUGAAGUACUUAAUGGAGCAAAAAGUGACUACAACCAUUCAAUAGAAGGGUCUAACCAAGUUACUAGGCCUAGACUAUGAAAUACAAUACAAGAAGGGGGCAGAGAAUAGAGUAGCAGAUGCAUUAUAAAGGGUGAAAAAAAAUCAAGGUGAAAAUUUUGCUAUGUCUGGUGUACAACCUUCAUGGAUGAUGGAAGUAGAAAAGAGUUAUGAAGGAGAUGAUUCAGUGCAAGACCUGAUUAUUGCAUUAACUGUGGACUUAAGCAUUCACCCUGAUUAUAGCUUUACAGCUGGGGUGAUGAGAUUUAAGGGGAAGUUAUACAUAGGCAAGACUACAACAUUAAGACAACAAAUUUUACAACGGGUUCACUCCUCAGCUGUAGGAGGGCACUCAGGACAACAAGGGACAUUGAAGAGGUUACAGCUAUACUUCUUUUGGCCAGGAAUGAAAAAGGAUGUGCAUGACUUUGUAUCCAUCUGUGACAUCUGUCAGAGGAUCAAGGAUGAAAAUGUGGCCCAUCCUGGGUUAUUGCAACCACUGGAGAUACCAACUCAAGCUUGGAAGGACAUCAGCCUUCAAUCAAGGGCUACCAAAAUCACAAGGGAAAGAUGUGAUUCUUGUGGUAGUGGACAGAUUCACAAAGUAUGCCCAUUUCAUUCCCUUACAACACCCUUACACUGCUGUAACUGUUGCUGAUAUUUUCAUUAAGGAAAUCUACAAGUUUCAUGGAUUUCCCAGCACAAUGGUCUCAGACAGAGAUAAGGUUUUUACUAGUAAUUUCUGGCAACAACUUUUCAAAGUAGCUGGCACUACUCUUUGCAUGAGCACAACCUACCAUCCUGAGAUUGAAAGAUUGAACAGAUGUCUAGAAGGUUACCUCAGGGCUAUGACAAUGAGCAUGCCUAAGCAAUGGGCAAAAUAGUUGCACCUAGCUGAGUGGUGGUACAAUACUAACUAUCACUCCUCCUUGAAGUGCACACCAUUUCAUGCUCUCUAUGGGUAUGAGCCCCUCAACUUCCUAUAGGUACCUAUUUACAAAAUCCAGUAGCAAAUGUUCAAGAAUUGAUCCAACAUAGAGCUCAGUUUCAACAGGUCCUUAAGGAUCACUUGGUACAAGCUCAGGCCAAGAUGAAGUUUUAUGCAGACCAGCACAGAACUGAGAGACAGUUGAAUGUAGGGGAUUCAGUUUAUUUAAAGUUACAACCCUAUAAACAGACCUCUAUGGCACUCAGAAGGAACCUCAAGCUUUGUCCAAAAUACUAUGGUCCUUAUUUGAUAGAACAAAGGAUUGGCACUGUUGCAUACAAGCUCAAGCUCCUGAUAAUGCUUUAAGACAUCCUGUAUUUCAUGUAUCCCUAAUCAAGAGAUGGAUUGUCCCAACUGUUAUUCCCUAACAACAACUGCCUAUGGUGGGAGGGGAUGGUCAACUGCUGGUCAGGCCCUUGGCUAUACUUCAGAGGCGUAUGGUUAACGUAGACAAUGCAGUUGCUGUUAAGGUCCUAGUACAAUGGGAGAAACUUGCUCCUGAAGAAGCCACAUAGGAGGACUGGUCUUUUAUCAAGGCUCAACUCCUAGAUUUUGUUGCUCAACUUGAUCCCCAUCCUUGAGGUCAAGGAUGUUUUGAAGAAGGGUGGAAUGUAAUGAACCAUGUCAUUACUAGUAGCUAAACGACAACGUAUGGCUAUUAAUUAAAUAAGGAUUAAUGGAUAGUUUAAAAGUUAGUUAGUUGAGAAAUGAAGGGCUGAUAUUAAAAGGAAAGGGACGACUAGGAUCAACUGUGGAAGGAAUAUAAAUACAAAGUUGUUGGAAGAGAGAGGCAACGAAAUUGGUAUGAUCACCUCAUCUCUUUCACCUGCUCUUCCUUCUAUCUUCUUUCUCUCUUCCUAAAUUCUUCAUCUACAAACCCUUCCUAAAUUCUUCUUCUUCUUCUUCUUCUGACAAAUUGUUUCGAAUAGAAAAUGUUCAUGAAGAACUGAAUUUAUCCUCUAAGACUGUUUUAAUGAAUUUAUGUUUUUCUUGAAUUUAGGCUUAAAUCACCUUAUUUGAGUUGGAAAAUUAAAUCAUAGCUACAUUAUAACUAUAUGGGGUAAUCAAUAAAUACAAGAGAUUUGUUUUGACAUGAAUAGCAUGGGCACGUGGAAUCUUGUGUGAGUCAACAAGAAUCAUCUUACAAGACUACAUACUUUUGAGUGAUGAUAUCGAAGUAGUACUGCGGGGAUGAAUUGAGAGAAAUUUAUAUUAGAGCUCUAAAAUUUUAUUAAGAACUCUAAGGACUUUUCUCAUGACACUAAAAGUGUUGAUGUCAUAGAAAAGGUGAUAGUGGCCCCACAAAACACACUCAUACAUGUUUGAGGAGUUCAAUUCAGAGAAAUGAAUAAAAUUAAUUUAACAUAUGAAAAGCAAAAUUUGAAUCAUUGGAGAAUAUAAUCUCAAAAAAUUUCAGCAAAACAAAAAUUAGAAAAGUUUUCAUUCGUUUGAUUAUCUUUUUAAAAGGCUAAUAUAUAAACUAUGAAAAAUAUUUUCCUUUAACUUUUACAUACGUUUUGUACUUUAAUAUUUUAGAAUUUCUUAGAAAGUGUCAAACUGAUAUUACAGAGAAACAAAAGAGCAGAAAAAAAUUUAAAAGUUAUCUGCAAAUUAACCUAAUAAUACUACUUAAAAUUAUAUAUUACAAAACAUAAGGAUACUUUUCCUUAUUUACAAAACAUACCAACUUAUUUACAAAACAUAACGGAUCUGAAAAAAUAAAAGCUCACCCUUCCAUUCCCUUUUCUCAGCCACCCACCUUUCCUUUCCCCUUUCCUUCCCCUUAGAUGCAGCCCCUACCCUUCCCUUAGGGUUUUCUCCCUAGUAAUAUCCUAUAUUGUCUUGUAAUCUCGUUCGAAUAUCCACACCACAUACAGACCCAUCAUAGCCGAUCCCCAGAGAAGAAGAGACACACCACAAGCGUUUCAAUGGGUGAACUUCUCACCAGGUGCUUACACUUAAUUAUGUGUAAUCUCGUUCGAAUAUAACUUCAAAUGAAAAUGAUUGCUAGAGAAGAUGAAUGGAAAAUAUAUAUUUCGUGCGAAAAUGUGCCAUCUCAAACUUCUAACUUCAGCUGAUUUGCACAAAUAACCACUUUUGCGACGAUGAUGAUGACUGAAACGAUGACGACGACCACAAAUUCUUUUCCUUUUGCCCUUAUUGUAAUUUCCUGUUUUACCUCAUGUAUAACAAAUAAAAUCUAUAUUUUCUGAUUUGGUUAGAAAAUGAAGAGAUUUUUUCUACUA